rnacentral:tRNA from 1 species
UGCCCCAUGGCUGAGUUGGUUACAGCGUCCGACUGUUAUCUCGUAGCAAUCGGAAGGUCGUGAGUUCGAGCCUCACUGGGGCAG